UAAACCCCUAUGCUUUCUCUAUGGCGCUAUCUAUGGUUGUUCUUUGAUUGCCACCGUUUCCAUCUGCUUGUUUAGAGCGAUAGCGAAAGGUUUUGAUCGCCCCUUUUAUCCACGCCAACAAUUCACUGCUCUAAUCCCUCAAUUUUUUGCUUUAUCUUCUUCGCUACGAUCUUUGGUAGAUUGUACUUUUCUGCUUCUGCGGAUUUCAACUGGGAGUUUUGGAUUGUUUCUCCGAUUUGUCUUGAACAAAGGGGUUAAAUUAUUUUGUUCGACGAAUUGGUUUAGGAUAAAGGCGUCUAGAUAUUGAUCGAUCCAAAGGCUCUCAUGCAUGUUAUUGGAACCUCCUCUCAGGUAUGACAAAUCAGCAACUUAUUGAUCAUGGACACCAAAUGAUGGAUGAGACUGAUCAAGCCAUUGAUAGAGCACAAAGGUUAUUCAUCAAACUAUCAACGGAGGACUAUGACUCUGACAAUGCUUUUAGGGUUCUCUGUAGUAUAUGCAAGUUUAAAGUUGACUUUUAGUGAAGAUACUACUAAGGUAAAGACAUACUAAUUUCUCUAUCUACAUCUCUCUUUUUUUCCCCCCUAAGUCCUUUCGAAUUUUGAUUUUUUGUUA